CUCAAGGGGAGGAGGCAUGGUCAGCCCGGGUAGGUCCGCCCUUUCAUUACACUCUUGAUUUGUGAGAGCAGAUUUGUCUAUCUAAAAUGAAGAACUGGAAUGAAUGCCAACUAGAAAAAAAGGGAUGGACUGUGCUGAUUAUUCUGCAUUUACUCUUACCUUUAUGGAUCUGUUCUUUGCGCUGAUCUUUACCCCAGAACUACAUCACUUGGUAUCUCUUGCCCUCUGACAUUUUGCUGUUUUCAACCAAUAAGAGGCAUUACUAUGGGAGAAAAGGAGUAAGAGGGCAAAGUUAUCAGGAAUGUGGAUGUAUGCCUGCACCAUCAACUGCUGAUCAACCGUUUCUUUUGCUACCUUCACAGAAGAGAUGAAGUUCCUGUCAUCUGAGGACAGACCUUGGCAUCAGAAAUGCCAAAAGU